UCAGAGGCUGCAGCAAGGGCAGAGAUGUACAAUUGCUUGCGCAUUCCAUGGAGUCAGCUGGUAUUGUGUGACAUCGAGAGAUCAUAGCUUAAGGGGAAACAGAGAAAUGUUUGGGGAUGCAAUUAGUGCACCAGCUAUCGACAACCAUUCUGUGAGCUUCAGCUGCGGCCGAGGUCAUUUCCCUCCACCUGCUCUGAAACAUGGCCUGCUUUUCCAGCUGCCCAAACAGAUGAAGACAUGGGUGAAUUCAAAUAGCUGUACUGUGCGUGGUAAGCACAUGGAACACUUUUGACACAAGACACCUACAUUACCAGUGGUUAUCAUGUCUUCCAGCCCCAAAGUGCAUUUCUGAGUUCUCAUCCUGGAAAGGAGUCAACGGUAGCAAGAGCAGCGCUGGGGCUGCAAGUAGAAUGACCACACUGUGGCAGCAGCAGGUCAGAGGGAUCCGUUCACCAGCCCAGGUCCAUCACAAAGAGACUCCUCCAGCCACGGUGGCAGCACACUGGUCCUUCUGGAACAUCUGGGCCCCCAAACUAUUUCUCUAGCUUCAUGAGUUCCUACCACAAUGAAAGUACAAGAUUAGAGCGAUCUCUGUGUGGUUGGAUUAAACCGCUGGAAUUCUUAUUGAGAAGGAGGGAAUCUGGAACUUAAACAUGUUUAUGCAGUAGUAAGAUAGACACUCAGUCAUUUUAACUUGAAUAAAGAGAUUCAGCUUUAUUGUUUUCAAGAUGGUAGGGCAUUAGUCAAUUGUAAAUGUAAAGAGAGUGACUAUUUCAAAGGGAGACAUUCAUAAAGUGCGUUAGCAUGAAUUCACAUGAGAUGAAUUAGAUCAAGUUUUAAGUUUUAAUAGUGUAAGUGACAAGUAUUAUGUUCUUUGUUAGGUAUAUAAAAUUAAUAAUACAUAUCUCAUGUCCAUAAGAAGGUGAUAUUUUAAAGCAAGAUGUAACCAGAUUGUAAUAAAUAAAAUUUGGAAGAAUUGUUAAAAAAAAAAAAAAAAAAGAAACAUUCAGUGAUGGUCUCUGGGCCAUCAGCUGAUCUAGAAAUGUUUAGUAUUGGCAACACCUGUUCAAAAUAUUUUGCUCAAGGCCUGCCACCAAUUCAUAAACUAAGCCUCUGAAUAACAUUGGUUUGAACAGAAUCAGUGACUCUUUUCCUAAUGGCAUAAGAUGGCAAAGAUGCUCAAAAAGUGGCACCUACAUCAU